AGCGAACGCUGGCGGCAGGCCUAACACAUGCAAGUCGAACGAACUCUUCGGAGUUAGUGGCGGACGGGUGAGUAACACGUGGGAACGUGCCUUUUGGUUCGGAAUAACUCAGGGAAACUUGUGCUAAUACCGAAUGUGCCCUUCGGGGGAAAGAUUUAUCGCCAUUAGAGCGGCCCGCGUCUGAUUAGCUAGUUGGUGAGGUAACGGCUCACCAAGGCUACGAUCAGUAGCUGGUCUGAGAGGAUGACCAGCCACACUGGGACUGAGACACGGCCCAGACUCCUACGGGAGGCAGCAGUGGGGAAUCUUGCGCAAUGGGCGAAAGCCUGACGCAGCCAUGCCGCGUGAAUGAUGAAGGUCUUAGGAUUGUAAAAUUCUUUCACCGGGGACGAUAAUGACGGUACCCGGAGAAGAAGCCCCGGCUAACUUCGUG
rnacentral:rRNA from 1 species